AACACAUGCAAGUGAGCGGGAUUUCAAGUAGCUUGCUAUUGAGAUGAGAGCAGCGCACUGGUGAGUAACACGUGGGAACAUGCCUUUUGGUGGGGGACAACAGUUGGAAACGACUGCUAAUACCGCAUAAGCCCUGAGGGGGAAAGAUUUAUUGCCGAAAGAUUGGCCCGCGGAAGAUUAGGUAGUAGGUGGGGUAACGGCCUACCUAGCCGACGAUCUAUAGCUGGUCUGAGAGGACGAUCAGCCACAUUGGAACUGAGACACGGUCCAGACUCCUACGGGAGGCAGCAGUGAGGAAUAUUGGGCAAUGGAGGGAACUCUGACCCAGCCAUGCCGCGUGAGUGAAGAAGGUUUUCGGAUUGUAAAGCUCUUUCAGAUGGGAAGAUGAUGACGGUACCAUCAGAAGAAGCACCGGCUAACUUCGUGCCAGCAGCCGC
rnacentral:rRNA from 1 species